AGCAGUAGCCGCGGUAAUACGAAGGGGGCUAGCGUUGCUCGGAAUUACUGGGCGUAAAGGGCGCGUAGGCGGACAGUUCAGUCGGGGGUGAAAGCCCGGGGCUCAACCUCGGAAUUGCCUUCGAUACUGGCUGUCUUGAGUAUGAGAGAGGUGUGUGGAACUCCGAGUGUAGAGGUGAAAUUCGUAGAUAUUCGGAAGAACACCAGUGGCGAAGGCGACACACUGGCUCAUUACUGACGCUGAGGCGCGAAAGCGUGGGGAGCAAACAGGAUUAGAUACCCCGGUAGUCCCUGUCUCUUAUAC
rnacentral:rRNA from 1 species